GAUGAACGCUGGUGGCGUGCCUAAUACAUGCAAGUCGAGCGAACAGAUAAGGAGCUUGCUCCUUUGACGUUAGCGGCGGACGGGUGAGUAACACGUGGGUAACCUACCUAUAAGACUGGGAUAACUUCGGGAAACCGGAGCUAAUACCGGAUAACAUUUGGAACCGCAUGGUUCUAAAGUGAAAGAUGGUUUUGCUAUCACUUAUAGAUGGACCCGCGCCGUAUUAGCUAGUUGGUAAGGUAACGGCUUACCAAGGCGACGAUACGUAGCCGACCUGAGAGGGUGAUCGGCCACACUGGAACUGAGACACGGUCCAGACUCCUACGGGAGGCAGCAGUAGGGAAUCUUCCGCAAUGGGCGAAAGCCUGACGGAGCAACGCCGCGUGAGUGAUGAAGGGUUUCGGCUCGUAAAACUCUGUUAUUAGGGAAGAACAAACGUGUAAGUAACUGUGCACGUCUUGACGGUACCUAAUCAGAAAGCCACGGCUAACUACGUG
rnacentral:rRNA from 1 species